CACGUAGGCACCAAGCGUUGUCCGGAUUUAUUGGGCGUAAAGAGCUCGUAGGCGGUUCGGUAAGUCGGGUGUGAAAACUUUGGGCUCAACCCAAAGCCUGCACUCGAUACUGCUGUGACUUGAGUCCGGUAGGGGAGUGGGGAAUUCCUGGUGUAGCGGUGGAAUGCGCGGAUAUCAGGAAGAACACCGGUGGCGAAGGCGGUGGUCUGGGCCGGAACUGACGCUGAGGAGCGAAAGCGUGGGGAGCGAACAGG
rnacentral:rRNA from 1 species